CUCAGAUUGAACGCUGGCGGCAGGCCUAACACAUGCAAGUCGAGCGGUAGCACAGAGAGCUUGCUCUCGGGUGACGAGCGGCGGACGGGUGAGUAAUGUCUGGGAAACUGCCUGAUGGAGGGGGAUAACUACUGGAAACGGUAGCUAAUACCGCAUAACGUCGCAAGACCAAAGUGGGGGACCUUCGGGCCUCAUGCCAUCAGAUGUGCCCAGAUGGGAUUAGCUAGUAGGUGGGGUAAUGGCUCACCUAGGCGACGAUCCCUAGCUGGUCUGAGAGGAUGACCAGCCACACUGGAACUGAGACACGGUCCAGACUCCUACGGGAGGCAGCAGUGGGGAAUAUUGCACAAUGGGCGCAAGCCUGAUGCAGCCAUGCCGCGUGUAUGAAGAAGGCCUUCGGGUUGUAAAGUACUUUCAGCGAGGAGGAAGGCGUUAAGGUUAAUAACCUUGGCGAUUGACGUUACUCGCAGAAGAAGCACCGGCUAACUCCGUGCCAGCAGCCGCGGUAAUACGGAGGGUGCAAGCGUUAAUCGGAAUUACUGGGCGUAAAGCGCACGCAGGCGGUCUGUCAAGUCGGAUGUGAAAUCCCCGGGCUCAACCUGGGAACUGCAUUCGAAACUGGCAGGCUAGAGUCUUGUAGAGGGGGGUAGAAUUCCAGGUGUAGCGGUGAAAUGCGUAGAGAUCUGGAGGAAUACCGGUGGCGAAGGCGGCCCCCUGGACAAAGACUGACGCUCAGGUGCGAAAGCGUGGGGAGCAAACAGGAUUAGAUACCCUGGUAGUCCACGCCGUAAACGAUGUCGACUUGGAGGUUGUGCCCUUGAGGCGUGGCUUCCGGAGCUAACGCGUUAAGUCGACCGCCUGGGGAGUACGGCCGCAAGGUUAAAACUCAAAUGAAUUGACGGGGGCCCGCACAAGCGGUGGAGCAUGUGGUUUAAUUCGAUGCAACGCGAAGAACCUUACCUACUCUUGACAUCCAGAGAACUUAGCAGAGAUGCUUUGGUGCCUUCGGGAACUCUGAGACAGGUGCUGCAUGGCUGUCGUCAGCUCGUGUUGUGAAAUGUUGGGUUAAGUCCCGCAACGAGCGCAACCCUUAUCCUUUGUUGCCAGCGGUUAGGCCGGGAACUCAAAGGAGACUGCCAGUGAUAAACUGGAGGAAGGUGGGGAUGACGUCAAGUCAUCAUGGCCCUUACGAGUAGGGCUACACACGUGCUACAAUGGCAUAUACAAAGAGAAGCGACCUCGCGAGAGCAAGCGGACCUCAUAAAGUAUGUCGUAGUCCGGAUUGGAGUCUGCAACUCGACUCCAUGAAGUCGGAAUCGCUAGUAAUCGUAGAUCAGAAUGCUACGGUGAAUACGUUCCCGGGCCUUGUACACACCGCCCGUCACACCAUGGGAGUGGGUUGCAAAAGAAGUAGGUAGCUUAACCUUCGGGAGGGCGCUUACCACUUUGUGAUUCAUGACUGG
rnacentral:rRNA from 1 species